rnacentral:rRNA from 1 species
GCGAACGCUGGCGGCAGGCCUAAUACAUGCAAGUCGAGCGGGCGUAGCAAUACGUCAGCGGCAGACGGGAGAGUAACACGUGGGAACGUGCCCUUCAGUUCGGAACAACCCAGGGAAACUUGGGCUAAUACCGGAUACGCCCUUACGGGGAAAGAUUUAUCGCUGAAGGAUCGGCCCGCGUCUGAUUAGCUAGUUGGUUGGGUAAUGGCCCACCAAGGCUACGGUCAGUAGCUGGUCUGAGAGGAUGAUCAGCCUCACUGGGACUGAGACACGGCCCAGACUCCUACGGGAGGCAGCAGUAGGGAAUAUUGGACAAUGGGCGAAAGCCUGAUCCAGCCAUGCCGCGUGAGUGAUGAAGGCCUUAGGGUUGUAAAGCUCUUUCGGCGGGGAAGAUAAUGACGGUACCCGCAGAAGAAGCCCCGGCUAACUUCGU